rnacentral:tRNA from 1 species
CGCGGGGUGGAGCAGCUCGGUAGCUCGCUGGGCUCAUAACCCAGAGGUCGCAGGUUCAAAUCCUGUCCCCGCGACUA